UAGUUGUUUGGGAUUGCAGCUCCAAACGGGUGGUAAACAUCACCUAAGGCUAAAUAUUGGCGAGAGACCGAUAGCGAACAAGUACCGUGAGGGAAAGAUGAAAAGAACUUUGAAAAGAGAGUUAAACAGUACGUGAAAUUGUUGAAAGGGAAACGAUUGAAGUCAGUCGUGCUGGCGCGAAAUCAACCCUCUCGUCUUGAGAUCACAUGGCGCGACGAGCCUCAAAACCGUCACGAAGCGUGAACUCUUGACGAAAAGGUGCACUUUCGUGUCCGCUGGUUAACAUCAAUUUCGAUCGUCAUAAAAAGGCUGGAGGGAUGUGGCUCCUUCGGGAGUGUUAUAACCUUUAGCGGAAUGUGGUGUUCGGGAUUGAGGAUUGCAACNAAUACCUUCAGGGCUGUUCCACCUGGCUUCUCAUUGGUAUCCUGGUGACNACAGCUUGCUGACGUCGUUAGGAUCCGCYUCUGAACAGGCUAGAGUGUGAGCAAAUUCGUUAAGGAUGUUAACGUAAUGGCUUUAAACGACCCGUCUUGAAACACNGACCAAGGAGUCUAACAUAUAUGCGANUGUUCNANCGUCNAAACUCGAGCGCNCAAUGAAAGUGAUUUUGGUAAGAUCCUCUUCCCCYCGGGGGAGCGG
rnacentral:rRNA from 1 species